UGAUGGAACUACUGUGUGUGUGUGGUGUGUGUGAUGGGGACCAGCAGACUUAGGACCUCAUUUACAGUGUUUCCAAGCGUCUUUCUCUGAUAAAGUGCCUCACUUGUGUUUUUCGUGA